AGAGAUUAUUGUAGUGAUAAGGCAGGCGGCAGGCGUGUUCAUUUUGGAAAAAAUGGCAGACGAUGAAAGUUUAGCUUUACUCAAGGAAUGGAAUCUGGGGCAUUUGGCUGACAUUUUCAUAAGCCAAGGAAUAGAUAUUAUUUGCUUCAAGCUGCUUGAUGAUAGCCACAUGAAAGUCCUUGGCUUAAAAAUUGAGGAUGAAAUGAAGUUUAUCCAUUUUUUAAAAAAAUGGCAAAGAAAAGAAGACACCACUGAUGAAGAACCGGACAGAGAGAAUGCCAAUUUGACGACCAGCCCCCCGAAAAAUCCCCAAAAGAGGCCUUCGCUGAUUGAACCUGAGUGUUUCGCUAACCAUUCUGGAACCUCUCAGCAGGGUGAACCGCUAGCAAAGAAGAGCAAGUUUAACCUCACAUUUAAUGUGGCUGAAGUCUUUGAGGAUGACAUUUACUGUAGAGGCAUUAUGAAUGUGUAUGCAAGAGAAUUUUCGCUCUCUGACCCUACAGAAAGGUGCUGACAAAUCAGCUCUCUAAGUGCAUUCUUGAGCACUAUGGCAAUAAAGUGACAUUUGAAGUCUACCUCGAGGUGCGAAAUCAGAUUCUUGCUUUAUUUCCAACCGAGAAAGCGUACACCUGGUUUGAACCGCCUGUACAGGGACGAGACCAACUUGAAUCUGUCGGAUGUUUGUACGAUCGGGUCAAACACUUGCGUAGCGAGUUGGUGACUAUGGGAGUAUUAGAGCCUUUGCGUCGGUACGCCAAGAUUGAUCCACAAGCGGCUGGUCUAACUGUGUCACCAGAGGAGAAAAUCAAAAGUCAGUUGCAUAAUAUGCAAAUUACGGACAAGGCAGAUUUAGCCAAUGUGAUGCAAUAAUCGCAAAAUUUUCGUUUCAAUUGUUUGAAGAUAAGUUUUGACUAUGUCGAUCUUACAGAGUUCUUAGACUUCUUAUAUAAUCAAAUAAUUAAGAUUUGAAUUCAAAAUUCAACCAAUGUCUCUCAAUUAAAAAUAGGGAAGCAACGUUUGUCAAAAUAAAAAUUUCAAUUAUUUUUUUACGUCUGAGGUAAGAGUUGCAGUCAAUGAAUUUAUUUGAUAAUUUAAAUAAGUUAUAAUUAACUUGUCAUUAAAUCACUUUUAAAUCUAAAUUCUAAAACCAGAAUCAGAUAUAGAUACAAUUUAAAAUAUAAAUCCUGGCAAAAUUGAAAUUAUAUCUGUUUUAACUAUUUGUUAUUUCUCUUAUUUUGAGCAAAAGUGUCAAAGAAAGAAAACCUUGAGAAAUCCUAGUUUAAUAAAAUUAAUUUUGUAAAUUUUAGAUCAAUUCAGCU